rnacentral:rRNA from 1 species
CCUAGAGUUUAGUUUUUAGGUAAGGCCUGCCCGGUGAAAGUUUAACGGCCGCGGUAAUUUGACCGUGCUAAGGUAGCAUAAUCAUUUGUCUUUUAAUUGGAGACUGGUAUGAAGGGUACAACAAGAGAUUUGCUGUCUUUGAAAAAUAAAUUGAAUUUUAUUUUUUAGUGAAAAAGCUAAAAUGAUUUUGUGGGACGAUAAGACCCUAUAGAUCUUUAUUAUUUUGAAAAUUUUAAGUUUUCUAGUUAAUUUUAUUGGGGCGAUAUAAAGAAAAAGGUAUCUCUUUAAAUUUGAAAUAUGAAUAAAUAGAUGAUUAUUGGAGCCUAGAUGAUGGGUUAAAAGAAAAAGUUACCUUAGGGAUAACAGCGUAAUAUUUUUUUAGAGUUCUUAUCGAAAAAAAUGUUUGCGACCUCGAUGUU